CAAAUUAGAGCUUGAUAAAGUAUUUCAUUUACAUUGAAAAGAAAUUAAAAUUUAAUUAAUUUGA
rnacentral:tRNA from 2 species